GUGGGUACAGCUCAGUGGGAGAUCAUUUGCAUAGCAUGCACAAGGUCCCGAGUUCAAUUCUCAGCACCCCA
rnacentral:tRNA from 1 species